CCCGUUGACUUUGACGAGGUCUCCGACGACGAUGAAGUCAUCCUUGCCAAGAAGUUCCAGACGUUCCGAUCCCGACGCAGAUCCAUGAUGACCUCAAGAAGGCGGCGCCGCCCGCCAAGGAGGUCGUUUGAUGGUCGAAUUGAUAUCUUUUCUUUUCUCAUAUGUCAGGGGAAAUUUAAUAUAUUUUCUCAUAAAAGGCUCUGUAUCUUUAUAUAAUUGAUGAAUUGAUUUUCAUGAUUAUUUUGUGAGUUUCUAGUUGCUAAUUAUUAUUUAUCUAUAUUACCUCACUUUUUCUUUUUUAAUUCUACUAGCAUUUGCAC
rnacentral:lncRNA from 1 species